GUCUUUUUACACUUACUUACGUUAAUUCAUACUUCCUAGACGAAAAUAAUACUUAAACACUAUAACCUAUAAUACUGAUCAACGCUCUCUCUCUCUCUCUGGACUCAACUGAAUACCAACCCCAGUUCGCGGGAUAUACAUAUAUGGAAUAUGUUAUACUAAAUAAUAUAAAAAUAAUAAAUGUACCUUUUUACACUUAAA